rnacentral:rRNA from 1 species
UCUAGCGAGACUGCCAGUGAUAAACUGGAGGAAGGUGGGGAUGACGUCAAAUCAUCAUGCCCCUUAUGACCUGGGCUACAAACGUGAUACAAUGGCUGGAACAAAGGGAUGCGAAGCAGUGAUGUGGAGCGAAACCCAUAAAAACAGUCUCAGUUCGGAUUGAAGUCUGCAACUCGACUUCAUGAAGUCGGAAUCGCUAGUAAUCGCGGAUCAGAACGCCGCGGUGAAUACGUUCCCGGGCCUU